GACGAACGCUGGCGGCGUGCCUAAUACAUGCAAGUAGAACGCAGUUGCGAACGGGUGAGUAACGCGUAGGUAACCUGCCUCAUAGCGGGGGAUAACUAUUGGAAACGAUAGCUAAUACCGCAUACUGUGAGAUGGACCUGCGUUGUAUUAGCUAGUUGGUGAGGUAAAGGCUCACCAAGGCGACGAUACAUAGCCGGCCUGAGAGGGGGAUCGGCCACACUGGGACUGGGACACGGGCCAGCGUCCGACGUGAGGCAGUAGUGGGGAAUAUUGCACAAUGGGCGCAAGCCUGAUGACGCCAUGCGGCGUGUAUGAAGAGGGCCUUCGGGUUGUAAAGUACUUUCAGCGGGGAGGCGUUACCCGCAGAAGAAGCACCGGCUAACUCCGUGCCAGCAGCCGCGGUAAUAC
rnacentral:rRNA from 1 species